rnacentral:rRNA from 1 species
UACGGAGGGGACUAGCGUUGUUCGGAAUUACUGGGCGUAAAGCGCACGUAGGCGGAUUUGUAAGUCAGGGGUGAAAUCCCGAGGCUCAACCUCGGAACUGCCUUUGAUACUGCAAAUCUCGAGUCCGGAAGAGGUGAGUGGAAUUCCUAGUGUAGAGGUGAAAUUCGUAGAUAUUAGGAAGAAUACCAGGGGCGAAGGCGGCUCCCUGGUCCGGUACUGACGCUGAGGUGCGAAAGCGUGGGAGCGAACAGG